rnacentral:rRNA from 1 species
GUACAGUUGGGUAGCUACGUCCGGAAAAGAUAAACGCUGAAAGCAUCUAAGCGUGAAACUUGCCUUAAGAUGAGGUCUCCCGAAGCGAAAGCUUGAAAGACACCUUGAAGAUGAUGAGGUUGAUAGGCCAGGAGUAGAAGUUCAGUAAUGAAUGUAGCGUACUGGUACUAAUAUGUCGAGAGCUUAACUUA